AUUGAACGCUGGCGGCAGGCUUAACACAUGCAAGUCGAGCGGGGUGAUGGUGCUUGCACUAUCACUUAGCGGCGGACGGGUGAGUAAUGCUUAGGAAUCUGCCUAUUAGUGGGGGACAACAUCUCGAAGGGGAUGCUAAUACCGCAUACGUCCUACGGGAGAAAGCAGGGGAUCACUUGUGACCUUGCGCUAAUAGAUGAGCCUAAGUCGGAUUAGCUAGUUGGUGGGGUAAAGGCCUACCAAGGCGACGAUCUGUAGCGGGUCUGAGAGGAUGAUCCGCCACACUGGGACUGAGACACGGCCCAGACUCCUACGGGAGGCAGCAGUGGGGAAUAUUGGACAAUGGGGGGAACCCUGAUCCAGCCAUGCCGCGUGUGUGAAGAAGGCCUUAUGGUUGUAAAGCACUUUAAGCGAGGAGGAGGCUCUUUUGGUUAAUACCCAAGAUGAGUGGACGUUACUCGCAGAAUAAGCACCGGCUAACUCUGUGCCAGCCGCCGCGGUAA
rnacentral:rRNA from 1 species